GGUGGGUGGAUAUGGGGGACUUUUGGUAUAGCAUUGGAAAUGUAAAUGAGUUAAAUACCUAAUAAAAAAUGGAAAAAAAAAAAAAAAAAGAAGGUAUAUCCUUUUGUUUUGGUAUAAAAUGUUCUAUAGAUAUCUGUUAAAUCCAUUUGUUUUACAAUUUUUGUUAGUUUCACUGUGUCUGUUUAGUUUCUGUUUCCUGGAUCUGUCCAAUGAGGAAAGUGGGUUGUUGAAGUCUCCCAGUAUUAUUGUGUGAGUUGCACACAUUAAACCUUUUAAAAGCCAAUGUAUUUUAAAGACUGCAUUUAGGUUUUCUUUUUCUUUUUUCUUUUUCUUUUUUUUAACAGUCUCCAAUUGUGAUGGUUUGUAUAUGCUCAGCCAAGAGAGUGGCACAAUUAGAAGGUGUGGCCCUGUUGGAAUAGGUGUGUCAUUGUGAGUCUGAAAACUGCCAGGACCCGGCUCAGUUGUCCCCCCUCAAUCUGUAGGAAAUUAGGGGUUUCAGCAGGUGGGCAUGGAGUUGUCCAGAAAUAACAAAUGGACACAGAAAAAGGGAGUGCUGUAUCUGGAUGUAAUUUUUCACAAAGAGAACACCAGUCUUAUAUAACUCAGAAAAUAAAGGAGUACUGUGUCACAGCAGGCAAGGUGCAUUGGAUCAUCUGACACAAAACAGAGGAAUGCCUUCAAAGGGCUGACAGGAACCAGUUAAUGUUUACAGUAAAGAUAAAACAGCCCUGCCUAGAAUCAGCUAAUGUCAGGUAAGGAUUUUACACCCUAGUCACAAUUUAUGCUACUCCUUUGAGCCUUGUGAAAGCUAGCACCAGGGGGUUCUGCUCUAGCGGACCUUAUCAUGAAUAAUGCAAUACCACAACUCCCCUUUUUCCUAGGCCUUGGUAAAUACUUGCAUAUGAAAGUAACUUGGCUGUUCUUUUAAGUAUCUGUAGGGAAUCUCCAUUUGUCAGAAGAAUUCACCAACUUUCUUCUAAUAUACAAUAUAGUCUACUAUACCUGAAUGUAAUGAAGAUUCUAGGUAUACUUUUGCUAAGCCUGCCCUGAGACUUCUAACUCUUAUCCAGUAAAAUACUGUAAGAAAGCAUGCAAGACCCUCCACAAUAUCGCAGGAACAAAUCUGGGACAUUCUAGCUAUAGGAAUGCCAAGGUUACAGGAGGCUAAGUUUCCGUGAAACUCUUUGCCUCAGGACUGCUUCCAGGCUUUUAGACCUGCCAAGCGAGUCAUUACUGGAGUGGAUGUAGCAGGAAAUGAAUAUUCUAGCAUCCUUCAGAUUAAGAUGUAGAAGUCUCAGCUCCUCCUGAGCCAUGCCUGCCUGGAUGCCUGCCUUAAUGAUAAUGACCUGAACCACUUGAACCUGUAAGGUAGUCCCAAUUAAAUGUUGUUCUUUUAAGAGUUGCUUGGUCACGGUGUCUGUUCACAGCAGUAAAAACCUAACUAAGACAUUAGUUUAAAAGUGAUUAUAUUGUGUAAAGUCUUAGUGGUUUAACCAUUGGUAUUUAUGAUCCUGAGAGUACAAUGAAAUACUCUUGCUUUAUUGAGCAAGGAAAUGCUCUGAAUUGUCUGGACAUGUAUGUAUACUUUAUGGAUUAGUGAAUAUGUCUAGAGAUACUGGUGCGAUUUAGAAAAAAACAAGAUUGAUUCACUCACUGAGGGUUGGGUAAAACAUUUUAUAUAAAGUACUUAGUUUGUUAAGGACUCAGUUUUGAGAGGGAUAGAUAUGAAAUGAUUGUGUUUCUGUGAUAAUAAUUCUCUCAAUUGCUCAAUAGUGCUUGUCUUUUAGGUAGUUGUUACAGACUCAUUAUACAAUCUAACAUUGUAGUUUAGGACCAUUACAUUUAUGUUGGAGUAUCUUUUACAUGAUUUAGGUGUCUAUCUCAAAGCGAAUCUCUCUAGGGUCUCACAGAAAAUAUUCUCUCUCUCUCUCUCUCUUUCUCUCUCUGUGUGUGUGUGUCUAUGUGCUUGUGUGUAUAUGUUAGAGGGUCAUGAAGUAAAAGAUAAUUUGAUUUUCAGGUCUUUCUUCUAGGUAACAACAGCUCUUCCUGGCCAUCUGGACAGGGUGGGCAUGGAAGGAAGGGAAGCCCCAAGCAGAUCUAUGUUUGGCUUAAUGAUACUGAUAAAGCCUAUUUAGUCACCCUGGUGGGCCUUUGCUCUACUCAUCUGGUGUUUAUUUCGCCUCUUGGUUUUCUAUUUUGGUGGUCCUAGCAGAGCCAAGGCUGCAUCUUCCAUGGCCUCCACAAAUAACUGUGUAGAUCAACUUCCAUUUUUAUCCUUCCCAGAACUGGAAGAUUUGCAGAGAUAGAAAAAAAAUAAUAAUCACAAAACAAUGAUGGCCCCUCCUCAGGAAUUCAUGUGGUCUCUCCCCAAUUCCUUUGGCCCUUCUCAGUACAGCACAAGGCAGGGAGGUAAAGCAAUCUAGACACUAAUUACCUUCCCCUUUUUGCAGCAUAUCUUCUCUCCUUGAGCUAUUCUGUGGCUCUACAGCUACUUCUUCACUAGCCCCCUCAGGGUGUCCUUGGCUUCUAGCAGGGUCUCUCGCCCUCUAACUUCACACCCCAAAUGGUGCUCAAGGAAAGUCCCAGUUGUUUUUUCACACUGCUUAAAAGGUUUGAAAAUUUAUAGAUACACAAAUACAUCACACACACACACACACACACACACACACACACACACACACACACACACACACACAUGCACACACUCUCUGUCCAUGACUGAAGGUGGAGUGAAAGCCUGCAAUAGAACUGUCAGGUCCAGGCCUUCUCUAGGACAGAUGGUGGGACACACAAACAGACUCAUGUCGGCUUCUUGAAUCUCUGCCUCCUCCAGUUUCUAUGCCCUCUCCAAUUCUUCUACAUUUAGGGGUAUAAAUACUUGCUCUUCUUUCAUUCCUCUCUCCCUACAUCUAUCUACCUGAAUGACUACUUUUUAAUUUAAGCUGGAGAAUCAGUGCCUUUCAUCUUUGCUGUGGAUAAUACCUAACAGCCAUUCUCAGUCUUAGGAGAAUAUCAGUAUUACCUAGAGAGCUUUCAAAAUAUAAAUUAAAUUAGAUUAUCUGGAAUAUGAGCACAGGGGCAGAAAUGACACAAAGCCCCUCAUUUGGUCCUUAUGUUCAGCACACUGGGAGCCAAUACCAACGGGCCAGGAGGAUGAGAACAAACACAUCAGUGAAUACCACAAAAUGGAGAAAGCUAGGCACUACCAGACUAAGAAACUUACCUUAGCUGUACAGCUGGCAGUUUUCAGAGUGGGUACACCAAAGCUUGAGUUCUGCACCUAGCUAGGAUCAUGAAGAAGAGCAACAGUUUUUGUUUUGUUUGCUAGUCCUUUCCAGUCUUUCAUCUUAUUUUUAUUCCCUGCCCACAUCUCAUGAGCACCUUCAGCACUGUGCAUUAUGGAAGGCCUAGAGCUGCUUCAGGCCAGCUCACCUUCCCUUGGCUAUAGAUGCUAUCCACUAUACCAUCACCUCUUCAGAAGGAGUCUCACAGAGAGGGCAAGAAUUCAUUGACUCAAUCUCAUGUCUGUGUGUUGUGUUCCAGGUAUGGCCACUAAAAAGACUUGUUUGCUUAAACUUUCAAGAAGAAUUCCAUGAUUGCAAGUGAAAAGGAGAAGGAAGGAUUACGUCUUAGGCAUUGCCUGGAAUCACAUUCUCUCAGCUAAGCCACAGCAUGGCUGUGCUUUGGUUUGAAGAUAAAACUCAAUGGUUAUGAGCACUGCAUGGUGGCUCACAAACAUCUGUAAUAGGAUCUGAUGCCCUUUUCUGGUGUGAGUCUAAAGACAGCAACACUGUACUCAUAUUCAUAAAAUAAAUAAAUCUUUUUU
rnacentral:lncRNA from 1 species